rnacentral:RNase_P_RNA from 1 species
AAAGCUCGCCAGGCAGUCGCUGCCUCAGGCCAAUUUGGUUUGGGGGGGAGGAAAGUCCGGGCUCCACAGGGUAGAGUGCCAGGUAACGCCUGGGAGGCGUGAGCCUACGGAAAGUGCAACAGAAAGUAUACCGCCUAUGUAAUCAGCAAUGAUUGCAGGUAAGGGUGAAAUGGUGCGGUAAGAGCGCACCGCAUGACUGGUAACAGUUCAUGGCGAUGGAAAACCCCACUCGGAGCAAGACCAAAUAGGAAUCCUUAGGCGUGACCCGCGCUGGAUUCGGGUAGGUUGCUUGAAGCUUGCGGUGACGCAAGCUCUAGAUGAAUGACUGCUCAAGACAGAACCCGGCUUAUCGGCGAGCUUUUUCU